rnacentral:rRNA from 1 species
AGUGAACGCUGGCGGUAGGCCUAACACAUGCAAGUCGAACGGCAGCACAGUAAGAGCUUGCUCUUACGGGUGGCGAGUGGCGGACGGGUGGGGAAUACAUCGGAAUCUACUUUUUCGUGGGGGAUAACGUAGGGAAACUUACGCUAAUACCGCAUACGACCUACGGGUGAAAGCAGGGGAUCUUCGGACCUUGCGCGAUUGAAUGAGACGAUGUCGGAUUAGCUAGUUGGCGGGGUAAAGGCCCACCAAGGCGACGAUCCGUAGCUGGUCUGAGAGGAUGAUCAGCCACACUGGAACUGAGACACGGUCCAGACUCCUACGGGAGGCAGCAGUGGGGAAUAUUGGACAAUGGGCGCAAGCCUGAUCCAGCCAUACCGCGUGGGUGAAGAAGGCCUUCGGGUUGUAAAGCCCUUUUGUUGGGAAAGAAAAGCAGCAGGUUAAUACCCCGCUGUUCUGACGGUACCCAAAGAAUAAGCACCGGCUAACUUCGUG